rnacentral:lncRNA from 1 species
AGAAAAUCAGGCUGGGGUGUGCAGGUGCACUGCUGGAGUAACUAGCUGCAGGAAGAAAAGCUACUCAGUCAUGGCUCCAUCUGCUUUUACCAAGAGCACAGAAGUUCUAUUAAUAGAAGGGAAAAUGUUACACUACUGGGUGUAAUACCUGAGUCUCCUGCCUUCACUUGGUUCCCUACGGUAAGUCAGGAAGCAUCCAGUAAAUAGUCCUUUCCUUCUCCUAUGGACCCUACUCUCCCCUCUGUAUCCCUUCUCAUCCCAUCUAAUGGCACACCUA